rnacentral:tRNA from 1 species
ACCUUCGUGGUGUAACUAGAUAGCACGUUCGUCUAACAAUCGGGAGGUCCUGUGUUCGAAUCCGGGCGAAGGUA